rnacentral:rRNA from 1 species
AUUGAACGCUAGCGGGAUGCCUUACACAUGCAAGUCGAACGGCGUGUCGAACGGGUGAGUAAUGUAUCGGAACGUGCCCAGUAGCGGGCGAUCCCUACGCGAACGCGUAGCUAAUACCGCAUACUUUUGGAGCGGCCGCUAUCGGAUUAGCUAGUUGGUGGGGUAACGGCUAACCAAGGCGACGAUCCGUAGCUGGGUUGAGAGGACGACCAGCCACACUGGGACUGAGACACGGCCCAGACUCCUACGGGAGGCAGCAGUGGGGAAUGUUGGACAAUGGGGGAAAACCUGAUCCAGCCAGGCCGCGUGUGAGAUGAAGGCCUUCGGGUUGUAAAGCACUUUUGGCAGGAAAGCGGUACCUGCAGAAUAAGCACCGGCUAACUACGUGCCAGCAGCCGCGGUAAUAC